CGGCUCAGUAACACGUGGAUAACCUACCCUUGAGACGGGGAUAAACCCGGGAAACUGGGUAUAAUACCCGAUAGAUCUCGACUGCUGGAAUGCAUCGAGCUUGAAAGCUCCGGCGCUCAAGGAUGGGUCUGCGGCCUAUCAGGUAGUAGUGGGUGUAGCGUACCUACUAGCCUACGACGGGUACGGGUUGUGAGAGCAAGAGCCCGGAGAUGGAUUCUGAGACACGAAUCCAGGCCCUACGGGGUGCAGCAGGCGCGAAAACUUUACAAUGCUGGAAACAGCGAUAAGGGGACCUCGAGUGCCAGGUUACAAAUCUGGCUGUCGUGAUGCCUAAAAAGCAUUGCAUAGCAAGGGCCGGGCAAGACCGGUGCCAGCCGCCGCGGUAACACCGGCGGCUCGAGUGGUAACCGUUAUUAUUGGGUCUAAAGGGUCUGUAGCCGGCCGGAUAAGUCUCUUGGGAAAUCUGGCAGCUUAACUGUCAGGCUUUCAGGAGAUACUGUCUGGCUCGAGGCCGGGAGAGGUGAGAGGUACUUCAGGGGUAGGGGUGAAAUCUUGUAAUCCUUGAAGGACCACCAGUGGCGAAGGCGUCUCACCAGAACGGACCUGACGGCAA
rnacentral:rRNA from 1 species